UACAGAGGGGGCAAGCGUUGUUCGGAAUUACUGGGCGUAAAGGGCGCGUAGGCGGCCACUCAAGUCGAAUGUGAAACCUCGAGGCUUAACCUCGAGCCUGCAUUCGAUACUGGGCGGCUAGAGUCUGGUAGGGGGAUCUGGAAUUCCUGGUGUAGCGGUGGAAUGCGCAGAUAUCAGGAGGAACACCGGUGGCGAAGGCGGGAUCCUGGGCCAGUACUGACGCUGAGGAGCGAAAGCGUGGGGAGCAAACAGG
rnacentral:rRNA from 1 species